GACAAUGCCCAAUCAAUGUGAGAUUGUAGCCUGUGAGAAUCAUUUGCUUUUGCUUUUACUUUCCUUCUAGUAUGAUAGAAUGAAUGUCAUUUUAGUGUUUAUCCUACAUAUGAAGGAUUCAAGCAAUACUCAGGCUGUUAAGAUGUAGACUAAACCCUAAAUCCAUCUGGAAACAGUUUGAAGUCCGUGGGUCAAUGGUGCAAGUCAUCAGAUGUCGAGAGCCCAUAAAGGAAGAAAGAAUGAGAUGUUAUGACUUCAGCAAGGGCACAGAAUUCCUGGCUUUGCUGCAGCAUCUGGUUCCCUGGCCAGGAAACCCAACCACACUGGCCUUUGAGCCUCCUGUUUGGGACUGGUAGGCGUGGCCAGCAGAGAUCUUCACACGAACGAGGCGGCACCACCUGUCCCUUGACAGGACCUCCUUCAGGGGAAGGAUCCCUGUGGUCUGCAUCCUCUGCCCCCACCUGACUCAGUGGAGAGGUGGAUUGAACAACAUCAGAAGAUGCCGGAAAGGUAAGACCCCAGGGUUCUGCAUACCAAUCAGGCCU
rnacentral:lncRNA from 1 species